rnacentral:rRNA from 1 species
UACGGAGGAUCCAAGCGUUAUCCGGAUUUAUUGGGUUUAAAGGGUGCGUAGGCGGCCUAUUAAGUCAGGGGUGAAAGACGGUAGCUUAACUAUCGCAGUGCCUUUGAUACUGAUGGGCUUGAAUGUACUUGAGGUAGGCGGAAUGUGACAAGUAGCGGUGAAAUGCAUAGAUAUGUCACAGAACACCAAUUGCGAAGGCAGCUUACUAAAGUAUAAUUGACGCUGAGGCACGAAAGCGUGGGGAUCAAACAGG